AAUUCUGUUGCAGACAAAUGAAAAAGAUCAGAAGUAACAAUUAACAGUAACAUAUAAUCAAACAGUUAGUUUGCAAGCAGUUGACGACAGAGGAAUAGACGAAUAUGACGUAAGUCCUACUCUUGCGAUGGAUGCCGAAGCAGUUUUCGAAGUGUCAUCUGGCCCAUGUUCUUUUUCCAUCUUUCCCUUGAGCUAUCAAUCGAUUCAACCCCUCAACCUUUACAAAUAAUGAAAUAAAAGCCCCAAUUUUAGAACUUAGGGUUUGAAGAAAUUUAAAAAAUGUUUGAAGGGAUGCAAAUGAUAGCAAAUAAUUAGCUCAAUACCUUUUUUCAGUGGACGACCAAAGCUGCAAAGAGAAAAUGCAGUAAUGGUUGAUAGGCCAUGGCUGAUGGAAAGAAAUGAAGCCAACCCUCUCAUCAAAUACAACAACAACAAUGGCCGUGUAGUAUAUACCGUGUGGUAAGAUGCAAUCGUACAGAUGAGUGGUAGCAACUAGCAAGCGAAAAUCGAGCUUCCAAUCUUGUCGAAGGCCUGGACUCUUGGAAGUUCAGACA
rnacentral:lncRNA from 1 species